UACGUAGGGGGCAAGCGUUGUCCGGAUUUAUUGGGCGUAAAGAGCGUGUAGGCGGUUGGGUAGGUCCGUUGUGAAAACUCGAGCUCAACCUCGAGACGCCGAUGGAAACCCCCCAGCUAGAGUCCGGAAGAGGAGAGUGGAAUUCCUGGUGUAGCGGUGAAAUGCGCAGAUAUCAGGAAGAACACCCGUGGCUAAGGCGGCUCUCUAGUACGGUACUGACGCUGAGACGCGAAAAGCGUGGGGAGCAAACAGG
rnacentral:rRNA from 1 species